GUAACACACACACACUACCCCUACGUCUAGUCCUUACAGGUAACACACACACUACCCCUACAUCUAGUCCUUACAGGUAACACACACACUACCCCUACAUCUAGUCCUUACAGGUAACACACACACACUACCCCUACAUCUAGUCCUUACAGGUAACACACACACACACUACCCCUACAUCUAGUCCUUACAGGUAACACACACACUACCCCUACAUCUAGUCCUUACAGGUAACACACACACACACUACCCCUACAUCUAGUCCUUACAGGUAACACACACACUACCCCUACAUCUAGUCCUUACAGGUAACACACACACUACCCCUACGUCUAGUCCUUACAGGUAACACACACACUACCCCUACACCUAGUCCUUACAGGUAACACACACACUACCCCUACAUCUAGUCCUUACAGGUAACACACACACACACACACACACACACACACACACACUACCCCUACAUCUAGUCCUUACAGGUAACACACACUCUCUCUCUCACUCACUCACUCACUCACUCACUCACACACUACGUCUAGUCCUUACAGGUAACACACACACACACUACGUCUAGUCCUUACAGGUAACACACACACACACACACACACACACACAUACGUCUAGUCCUUACAGGUAACACACACACACACACACACACACUACGUCUAGUCCUUACAGGUAACACACACACACACACACACACACACUACGUCUAGUCCUUACAGGUAACACACACACACACACACACACACUACGUCUAGUCCUUACAGGUAACACACACACACACACACACACACUACGUCUAGUCCUUACAGGUAACACACACACACACACACACACACACACACACUACCUAGUCCUUACAGGUAACACACACACACACACUACGUCUAGUCCUUACAGGUAACACACACACACUACCCCUACAUCUAGUCCUUACAGGUAACACACACACACACUACGUCUAGUCCUUACAGGUAACACACACACUACCCCUACAUCUAGUCCUUACAGGUAACACACACACACUACCCCUACAUCUAGUCCUCACAGGUAACACACACACACACUACCUCUACGUCUAGUCCUUACAGGUAACACACACUCUCACACACACUACCCCUACGUCUAGUCCUUACAGGUAACACACACUCUCUCUCUCUCACACACUACCCCUACAUCUAGUCCUUACAGGUAACACACACUCUCACACACACUACCCCUACGUCUAGUCCUUACAGGUAACACACACUCUCUCUCUGUCUCACACACUACCCCUACAUCUAGUCCUUACAGGUAACACACACACAACCCCUACAUCUAGUCCUUACAGGUAACACACACACACUACCCCUACGUCUAGUCCUUACAGGUAACACACACACACUACCCCUACGUCUAGUCCUUACAGGUAACACACACACACUACCCCUACGUCUAGUCCUUACAGGUAACACACACACUACCCCUACAUCUAGUCCUUACAGGUAACACACACACACUACCCCUACAUCUAGUCCUUACAGGUAACACACACACUACCCCUACAUCUAGUCCUUACAGGUAACACACACUCUCACACACACUACCCCUACGUCUAGUCCUUACAGGUAACACACACUCUCUCUCUGUCUCACACACUACCCCUACAUCUAGUCCUUACAGGUAACACACACACUACCCCUACAUCUAGUCCUUACAGGUAACACACACACACUACCCCUACACCUAGUCCUUACAGGUAACACACACACUACCCCUACAUCUAGUCCUUACAGGUAACACACACACACUACCCCUACACCUAGUCCUUACAGGUAACACACACACUACCCCUACAUCUAGUCCUUACAGGUAACACACACACACUACCCCUACAUCUAGUCCUUACAGGUAACACACACACUACCCCUACAUCUAGUCCUU
rnacentral:lncRNA from 1 species